GACGAACGCUGGCGGCGUGCCUAAUACAUGCAAGUAGAACGCAGUUGCGAACGGGUGAGUAACGCGUAGGUAACUGCCGCAAAGUGGGGGAUAACUAGUGGAAACGAUAGGUAAUACCACCUACUGUGAGAUGGACCUGCGUGUUAUUCGGUAGUUGGUGGGGUAAAGGCUCACCAAGGCGCCGAUACAUAGCCGAACUGGGAGGGGGAGCGGCCACACUUGGACUUAGACACGGGCCAGACUCCUACGGGAGGCAAGAGGAGGGAAUCUUCGGGAAUGGACGGAAAGCUGAACGAGCCACGCCCCGGGAGUGAAUGAGGGUUUCGGAUCGUAAAGCUCUGUUUUUAGGGGAGCGGUAUCUAACCAGAAAGGGACGGCUAACUACGUGCCAGCAGCCGCGGUAAUUC
rnacentral:rRNA from 1 species